AUUAUAACCGUGAUGUAUCGCUCUCGGGAUAUUCGAUUACAUAUAAAUAACUCUGAUAUUUCGAGUUAACCUUGAUCUUUGAAAUAUCUCGGACGCUAUUAUCCAAUAUCAGUUAUUUGCGUGCGAAUAAAAAGCUGGUCGAACGAGACGGUGAGGUUGUUCCACAAGAGAGGACCAAGGACCGAUCCCUGUAGAACACCGCGCUGGACGGGAAGCGGAACACCGUGCCACCGUGCCCGGUGCACACGACCGACCUGUCCUCGAGCUGUAACCCGACCAGCUGACGAUGCUAACAACUGCCUUUUUUUCGGACCGCGGGCCUAACCUCCUACGAGGUCCCCGCGCCUAAGGGCACUAAGUAACUGGGAACAAAUCAGGCACGGUCAUCCGGCCCCAAAUUAGGAUGUCCUGUCUUAUGGGACCAAAACGGCGGUCUGUAUGAAGAAACUGGUCCCGUUUGAAAAGGCGUAUUGUUCAUUUUAAAUUGGAUUCGUCCGCGUGAAAUAUCGAGGUGGGUAGCGUGAAAUGUUUUAUUAUAUUUUCGUGUACAUUGCCUUUGUUUUUGGAAAAAAUAAGAUAGUUAAUUGAAGUUAAGAAUGAAGCCAAUUAAAACAGGUGAGCUGUUUCCACUCAACUCAACAAUUAAAAAAUAUUUAAAGAAGAUACAUCAUGCUCUUCCAACUCUUAAUUAGUGUCUGUAAAUUAGCGUUAGCUUAAAUUAAUCUCCUUAGGAAACGAAAUUCAAUACAGUUUUGUGCUCAUUUAGGAUAUCUGGGAAUGAUUAAAGAUUUUGUCCUCUUACGGUCACCAAUUCAAGUUGCGCAUUAUCUCAGUCAGUCAGUCAAUAGAUGAAACUAUUCCAUAUCUCAUACUCAUCAACAAAAAAUACUUACGAUGAGUUAAAAGUUCGAAGUGAAGCAAUUGUAAAAGUAAAAAAGGACCAUCUAACUCAAACAAAAAUACAAAAGGUAAAUACGUACAAAUUUAUAAAACACCGUUCAAUAUUCAAACAUGUUUGUACAGAGCCUCACACUUCGCAAAGUAAGUGAGCUCUCUCUAAUUAUGUGCAAAUAAACCCGGGAAACUUCGCUUGAUCUCAUUCAGUUUCGGCAAUUUGGUCUUUCACUCGCGAGCGUUGUUUGGCAGAUUUCCGUUGGCAAACAAAACUUCGUCUUAUGUGAUUUUAAUCGGCGAAAUUCGAAAGGUCUCGCAAACAUAUUGGGACGUAUCAACUCGACGGAGUUAUUAAAAGUUUCACCCUUGUUUGGAAAACAUAUAUUGAAUAUUAAAUUUGAUCGAAGCUA